GACCGCGUAGCUCAGCUGGAAGAGCAUUGGGCUGGUAUUCCAAAGGUCGUAGGUUCGAAUCCCACCGUGGCCG
rnacentral:tRNA from 1 species